rnacentral:lncRNA from 1 species
UGAUUUGGGUUGCUUCCUUUAUCAUUUGGUGCAUUAUUGCAUACAAUGAUGUGUGUUUUCUGAGCUAUCUGAUUUAUUUCAUAUUUCAGUCAAUUUUUGUGCAAUGUGGCAGAAACAGCAGCUCUCUGCUAAGCCAUUCUGUGAAAUAUUUUGACGAUGCGAUGCAACAAAAGAUAGGGUCUAGGCUCCCUAAAUAUAUUAGGAGACUCUCCAUCUCCUUCUUUAGUUUUCAGCAGUUGCUGAUCAACUUUAAUGAUAACAACAACACAAAACAAAUGAAAUGACAGCAGCAUUCAACACCAUGUGCCAGGUACUCUCAGAAACCACCUCUGGCCUGAAAAGGGGCCGACUGAAACAUAUACCUAUUUGAAGAUCCCUGGCACACAGAUACAGCAGAAGAAGCCCAAAUGUGUUAUCAAACCAUUGAGAGAAACAGAACUUUCCUCAAAGCCAAGAAACAGCUUUCAAAAGGAAGUUUCCCAAAAACUCUUCUAAAAGUACCAGCAUAUCUUCAAACCAAAUGAGGAAAUUGCAGGCCACAGAUACAAGUAACCAGCUUAACCACUGGAUUGUGCUCUCUCUUUCCUUCUGUAAUCUACUUUGAACAAAUAAUACAAACGUGAAUAAUCCA